rnacentral:misc_RNA from 1 species
UAUCCGUAGGUGAACCUGCGGAAGGAUCAUUAUUGGAUUUUGAAACUUCAGGCUGCUGCUGGCUCUCCUCGGAGGGCAUGUGCACGCUUGUUGUCCAUUAUUUCUCCCACUGUGCACAAAUUGUAGACCUUUCAGUAGGCCUAUGUUGUUUUUCACAAUCUCUGAAUGUAAUAGAAUGGUUUUGAAUCUUGGGAAAUACAAUACAACUUUCAGCAACGGAUCUCUUGGCUCUCGCAUCGAUGAAGAACGUAGC